rnacentral:rRNA from 1 species
UCAAUAGCCUAACGGCUGAACCAGCAACUUGGAGGAAUGUAUAGCUAAAGCUAAAUGUAUUUUGUAAUAAUACAGAUUCGAUUUAUUCGUAUAAAGUUCUAGAUAGAAUUAUGAUAAUGACAUUAUCUAUCUAUAAGUCUUGACCAAAUUACGUGCCAGCAGUCGCGGUAAGACGUAAAAGACUAGUGUUAUUCAUCUUUAAUAGGUUUAAAGCGUACCUAGACGGUAAAUCAAGCCUUAACCGGGACUAAUUUAACUAGAGUUAGAUGUAAGGGUGCAUAAACGUACUGUUGAGUGUAGAGAUGAAAUUCUUUUAUACCAGAUUAUUGGCACGGGUUUAGGCGAAAGCAUCACCUUAUGUAAUAACUGACGUUGAGGGACGAAGGCUUUGUGUCGCGAACAGGAUUAGAGACCCCAGUAGUCUAAGCAGAAAAUGAUGAGUGUCAUAGGUUAAAUAUUAUUAUUUGGUCUAUAAAUGAAAGUGUAAGCAUUCCACCUCAAGAGUAAUUUGGCAACAUUGGAAUUGAAAUCAUUAGACCGUUUCUGAAACCAGUAGUGAAGUAUGUUGUUUAAUUAGAUAAUCCACAAAAAACCUUACCACAAUUUGAAUAUUUUACAAGUGUUGCACGGCUGUCUUCAGUUAAUGUCGUGAGAUUAUGGUUAGUUCCAUUAAAUUAACGUAAACCCUUACUUUAUUUUAUAAAAUAUAAAGUAGUUCGCCGAUAGAUUGGUUAGAUAAAAGGGAC